UGAAUAUACCGGUUCUCGUUAGAUCACCGAAGUUAAGCAUCAUUGGGCGCGGUCAGUACUUGGGUGGGUGACCACCUGGGAACAUUGCGUGCCGUU
rnacentral:rRNA from 1 species